rnacentral:rRNA from 1 species
UACGUAGGGUGCAAGCGUUAAUCGGAAUUACUGGGCGUAAAGCGUGCGCAGGCGGUGAUGUAAGACAUGUGUGAAAUCCCCGGGCUUAACCUGGGAACUGCAUUUGUGACUGCAUCGCUGGAGUGCGGCAGAGGGGGAUGGAAUUCCGCGUGUAGCAGUGAAAUGCGUAGAUAUGCGGAGGAACACCGAUGGCGAAGGCAAUCCCCUGGGCCUGCACUGACGCUCAUGCACGAAAGCGUGGGGAGCAAACAGG